GACGAACGCUGGCGGCGUGCUUAACACAUGCAAGUCGAACGGAAAGGCCCUGCUUUUGUGGGGUGCUCGAGUGGCGAACGGGUGAGGAACACGUGAGUAACCUGCCCUUGACUUUGGGAUAACUUCAGGAAACGGGGGCUAAUACCGGAUAGGAGCUCCUGCUGCAGGGUGGGGGUUGGAAAGUUUCGGCGGUUGGGGAUGGACUCGCGGCUUAUCAGCUUGUUGGUGGGGUAGUGGCUUACCAAGGCUUUGACGGGUAGCCGGCCUGAGAGGGUGACCGGCCACAUUGGGACUGAGAUACGGACCAGACUGCUACGGUAGGCAGCAGUGGGGAAUAUUGCACAAUGGGCGGAAGCCUGAUGCAGCAACGCCGCGUGCGGGAUGCCGGCCUUCGGGUUGUAAACCGCUUUCGCCUGUGACGAAGCGUGAGUGACGGUAAUGGGUAAAGAAGCACCGGCUAACUACGUG
rnacentral:rRNA from 1 species